AGUGAACGCUGGCGGCAUGCCUAAUACAUGCAAGUCGAGCGGCCACACAGUAAGCUUGCGCCUCUACCGGUGGCGACUGGCGGGUGAGUAACGAAUACAUCGCCUUCCUCUAUUACGUGGGUGACUACGGAGGGACACUUCUGCUAACAGCUCAUAUGUUCUACGGCUUAAAUCAGUAGUUCUUCGCACCUUGCCUGUCUCAUUUAGCUGAUUCCGCGCCGCAUUGGCUAGUUGGUAAGGUAACGCCUUACCAAGGCGACGAUGCGUAGCCGACCUGAGAGGGUGAUCGGCCACACUGGAACUGAGACACGGGCCAGACUCCUACGGGAGGCAGCAGUAGGGAAUCUUCCGCAAUGGGCGAAAGCCUGACGGAGCAACGCCGCGUGAGUGAUGAAGGUCUUCGGAUCGUAAAACUCUGUUAUUAGGGAAGAACAAAUGUGUAAGUAACUAUGCACGUCUUGACGGUACCGAAUCAGAAAGCCACGGCUAACUACGUG
rnacentral:rRNA from 1 species